rnacentral:pre_miRNA from 3 species
AGUGGGGUUGCUGGGUCACGUGGUAAGUGCAUGUUUAACUUUGUAAGAAACUGCCAAAGUAUUUCUCAAAGUGGCUGUGCCAUUUUGCAUUCCUACCAGUGAU